GUCUAGGGCCCUGCUGCACCGAACAAGCCCGAUCCCAUCGGAACUCGGAAUCUGAGCGGGGUCGGUCCAGGUUACCACUUGGAAGAGAGACCACCUAAGAAGACCAGGUGCUGUAGGCG
rnacentral:rRNA from 1 species